UUCCGGUUGAUCCUGCCGGAGGCUACCGCUAUUGGAGUUCGAUUAAGCCAUGCGAGUCGAGAGUCUUAGGGACUCGGCGUACCGCUCAGUAACACGUGGGUAACCUGCCCUAUGCUGGGGAAUAACCUCGGGAAACUGAGAAUAAUACCCCAUAGUUCACCACGCCUGGAACGGUGGGUGGAUGAAAGCUCCGGCGGCAUAGGAUGGGCCUGCGACGUAUCAGGUUGUAGGGGGUGUAACGUACCCUCUAGCCAUCAACGCGUACGGGUGUUGGGAGACAUAGCCCGGAGAUGGAUUCUGAGACACGAAUCCAGACCCUACGGGGUGCAGCAGGCGCGAAAACUUGGCAAUGCGAGCAAUCGUGACCAGGGAACUCCAAGUGGCUGGGGUAAUACCCAGUUUUUUCUUGACUCUUCAAAGGUCUUGGAAUAAGGGGUGGGUAAGGACGGUGCCAGCCGCCGCGGUAAUACCGGCGCCUCAAGUGGUAGUCGCUUUUAUUGGGCCUAAAACGUCCGUAGCCGGUCUGGUGCAUUCGUGGGUAAAUCAGCCCGCUCAACGGGUUGAAUUCUGCGAGCACGGCCAGACUUGGGACCGGGAGAGGUGUGGGGUACUCUCAGGGUAGGGGUAAAAUCCUGUCAUCCUGAGAGGACCACCUGUUGCGAAGGCGCCACACUAGAACGGAUUCGACGG
rnacentral:rRNA from 1 species